rnacentral:lncRNA from 1 species
ACUCUGUGGGUGGGGGAGGAGCAUGGUUCCGGUGGCUUCAGAAAUGAGCAACAAGCUAUCGGAGCCACUGAUUCCUCAAAGACCAAGAGCUGGAGAAAAAUAAUUUAUUUUCAUUUAUUCCAUAUCGUUCUAUCCAUCCACUCUUCUGUUUGACCAACAUUUUGAAUUGCCUACUAUGUGUUUACCAGCAAACAAGGAAGAACCUGGCUUUUGUAAUCUAUAAUCGUACCAAGGCUGAAACCUUACUUUUAAACAAAUACCAGAAUUUUAAAAUUAUAACUGAGGCACAGACUUCUGCCAGGCCUGCAGACAGAGCUCAGGAUAAAGAGCCAAGGGUGUGGCCUGUCUCGAGGCCCAUAGAUGUGCGCUCUGCAGGUGGAAUGGCCGUCCGGUGCUUACUUUGACUGUCCUCGGGUCCCGAGUCUUCUGGUGGUUAACUGAGGAAACUGCUGCCUUAUGAUCUAGCAGAGGAUGAUAAUUGCUGUUGCCCAGGACAACCACACCAGUUCACAAGAAAUCCGUGAAGAGAGAGCAUCUCUCAAGAACUGGAAAAAGACCAUCUUUGAAGGAUCCUAAAGAUGCCUCAAGAGUGCCCUCAUCUUCUGCUGUGUCAGUUCAGGGGUGUGCAAGUGACCCCACGUCAGGAUGGGAGGAGGGUGGGCAGACUGGUGGGACUAGAAGAAGAGGGCCACCGUGUAAAUGAGGAAGUCUCUGUUCUCUCCAAUGCAGGAUCGACUUUAUAGAGAAUGCUCCAGUGUUUUGCUCCUUUGCAUUGAUCAGAAAUCCGAUAUUGACAACACAGGCCCUGGAGACAAC